rnacentral:tRNA from 1 species
UCUAAUAUGACAGAAUUUAAUGUAAUGAAUUUAAGCUUCAUUUAUAAAGAUUUAUUAUCUUUUAUUAGAA